rnacentral:rRNA from 1 species
GAUGAACGCUGGCGGCGUGCUUAACACAUGCAAGUCGAGCGAAGCGCUUUGGUUAGAUUCUUCGGAUGAAGACCUUUGUGACUGAGCGGCGGACGGGUGAGUAACGCGUGGGUAACCUGCCUCAUACAGGGGGAUAACAGUUAGAAAUGGCUGCUAAUACCGCAUAAGCGCACGGUACUGCAUGGUACAGUGUGAAAACUCCGGUGGUAUGAGAUGGACCCGCGUUGGAUUAGCUAGUUGCAGGUAACGCCUACAAGGCGACGAUCCAUAGCCAGCCUGAGAGGGUGACGGCCACAUUGGGACUGAGACACGGGCCCAGACUCCUAUGGGAGCAGCAGUGGGGAAUAUGCACAAUGGGGAAACCCUGAUGCAGCGACGCCGCGUGAGCGAAGAAGUAUUUCGGG